rnacentral:rRNA from 1 species
GAAAGUCGAGCAUAUACCGUUCGAAAGGCGGAGCAAUUCUCGAUAGUCCCUCCGGGGUAAAGGAGCAAUCCGCUUUUUGAGAGGCCUGUGGCGCAUCAGGUAGUUGGUAGGGUAAUGGCCUACCAAGCCUACGACGCGUAGGGGAGCUGAGAGGCUGACCCCCACCGAUGGAACUGAGACACGGUCCAUACACCUACGGGUGGCUGCAGUCGAGAAUAUUUGGCAAUGGGCGCAAGCCUGACCAUGCGACGCCGCGUGGUUGAUGAAGUCCUUCGGGACGUAAAGACCUUUUAUGAGGGAGGAAGUAAUUGACGUUACCUCAUGAAUAAGGGGCUCCUAACUCUGUG